rnacentral:pre_miRNA from 1 species
UAACUAACCAUGUUUAUUGGCAUUGCCAAUAAACAUGGUUAGUUA